AAAAAAAUAUAUAUAUACCUCAGGUUUGGUGGAAAUGUGGAUUACGUUGGACAGUCAUAAAAUCAACCUCUUUAAAUUAAUUAUCAAACCAACUAAGAAGAGCCAGAAACCUGUUCUUGGAUGUGACCUGCAACUUGCUAAAGGACAUUAAACCAAACAUUAUUUGAGGUUCAUGAGAAUAUUUGAGGUUGUAUAUUUGAUUAUGACCAAACAUGGAUUUAAAACAAACAAAAGAAAAACUACAUUAAAGAUAAAACUUGAGCAAAAUUGCUUCUGAAGUUGCUGUUGUAGUUGUAUCAGUUGAAGUUUAAAUGCAUAAAACAGCCCAAACCAACGUGACAUUCAUCGGCACUGGAAUGUAUUUUGUUGAAAUACUAAUAUUUUGCACACACAUAAAGACAUGUUCAAGUGUGGAACACAAAAUGACAGCAAUGAUAAUAAAAAAGCAGAAUUCAGAAGAAAACAAAGAGGAAAAACAGAAGGAAAAGAGAGAGCUACUCAAUAAGAUAAAGAAUGGUUUGACAGAUACUGUAUUAAAUAACUAAAUUAAGUGGAAAAUGAGAAAUAAAGCAUCCCCUAAGGUUGAGGAUUGUCAUCUAACUACUUUAUAAACAAUUUUCACUUCUCUCAAAUAUUCUUUUCUCUCAUAGUGGCAGCACACUCCAGAGCAAAACAUCUAUAAUUUCCAAACCACACAUAAACACAUCAUUAAUAUGGUCUGUUUUAAUUAUAAAUAGGUGCCCAACUUUUGGUUUACAUCCGAUGAAUUGCUUCAACAUAUGAAAAAUCACAAAAAAAACAUCUCACCCCUUUUUUUUUGUAUUUUUUAUCACAGAGCAGUUAUAGGUGUCAAAUACGUGUAAUAUCCCUCUUUGGUCACUAGAGGGGGCUGUGGGCUCAAAUGAGCCACGGGGCGACACGUAAUAGGGAUGUGUUAAAACCAGAAGAGCGUUGAAGUUACCGUGGUGGCGGAGUCCGGGUAAAUACUGUUGUCGUGUUCUUUGGAGUUGUUGGGUUUUGUCUUGUCGGAAUGUAAUAAACUGGUGAACGUGGAAUCCAAGAAGAGCCCCGGAAAUGACGUUUAGACGCCACAAGCGCACCUCCAUCGUCUGGGAGCGGAGUCAGAAGCUCCUGCAGAGGAGGCGCAGGGUGCCCAAGGAGGGCGGAGGCAGUAGGGCCCAUACAUGCCCCAUCAUUCGUCUGAAGCCCAAA